AUGGAGGCAAGGAUGGAUCAAGAUGAUCAUACUAUCUUUUUAACUGGUAGCUCGUUUUACUACUAUGAAGUUCAGAGUCAGAUAACCAGAAACAGAACUGUUCUGUUUGUACAUCAUCAGCUCUUAAACACAAGCCCCUUUAUUAGCACACAAGAUGCAAACAAACUAGUGGCCUUUACAGAGGAAACAGAAUCGGUCACCUCAGGAUCCACAAAACAUGUACAGAGCAAGGCAAAUCUUUCCGUUUCCCGCAUGUCAAAAUGCGCGCUCCUGAUUUCUCUUCAGGAGGAAGACGAGAAGCUGCGCAUGACGCUGAAGGUACAGAGGAGAAGAGUUAGGGGAAGAACUGCAACACCUGUGAAUGUUGCCAACAUUUCCCAUUGCAGUUGA
rnacentral:rRNA from 1 species